AAUUGGUACACUCGCAAUGCGACAAGAUGAACCCCGCCAGGUCUGGAAAGAAGCAACGGUAAUUUUGAAUACAUGUGCCGGGUUGUGGCUAUUUAGG
rnacentral:SRP_RNA from 1 species